CCUACGGGAGGCAGCAGUGGGGAAUAUUGCACAAUGGGGGGAAACCCUGAUGCAGCGACGCCGCGUGGAGGAAGAAGGUCUUCGGAUUGUAAACUCCUGUUGUUGAGGAAGAUAAUGACGGUACUCAACAAGGAAGUGACGGCUAACUACGUGCCAAGCA
rnacentral:rRNA from 1 species